AAGGGCUAGCUACUGAAAGGUGAGUGUUUCUUGGACCUAGCUGGCUUCCUGGGCUGGUUUGCUGUAUAUCUAGAGAUCUCCUUCACUAGUUGUCAUCAAGGUCAAGCAAGUUCUCUGGUCGCAGUGCUAGAUCCUUUUGAUGCUGUUACCAAUCUGUAAAGCACCCCAAGUCUGCCACAGCCAAAUGUGAAAACUCAGAAAUGCCCCAACAAGUACUGUUGCCAGCUAUGAGGAGAUCCUGCAAAGUAGCCUGUGCCACUGUGGGUGAAGUUCUCUCCACAAGCAGUGGUUUCCUCCAGGAGUCCAUUCCUGCAUGGUCUCUCCAGUGGCUUAGCCUCUUUCAGGACAAAUCCAGCACUGUGCUGUGGGAUGCUCUGUGGUUGCAUGUGGAGAUCUGCUCUGCAUGGUGUCCAUAGUCUGCAGGGGGACAGCCUGCUCCAUUAUGUGUCUUUCUUGGAUUGCAGAGAGCUUCCACAAUGACCUUGGUGCAUGCAGCGCUAUUUCUUUUACACUGGUCUCCUUCCUUUCUCAUAAAUGCUAGAGGAAGGUUCAACUCCUGCUGCCAUACCACUGACAUACAGCUCUGAUGUUGUGGGCCAACACAAUAAAAUAGGAGGCAUUACUUUUGGAGCAGCCCUCCUUCUUUCUUAGGAGAGAGAAGGAAAAAAACGCCAUCCUUUGUAAUGUUAAUUCAGCAUACAAAUCAUUUUGUUAAUGUGAUUUGAAGUAUAGGCUGAUGUUGUUCCCCUAAUUAGCUUAAUUCACUUCUAUUUUUGUACAAUCUUAGUACUAUAAAGUAAUUUUAUUCCUGUUGGUCUUGUUCUCAUAACGUAUUGCACUUGCAUUUGCUACAUUAUGAAUUGUUCCCAUGGCUGUAAAAAUAAGAUAUUUCAUUCACUUUGACUCCUGUUUUUUAUUAAACUUGAGAUUGCUUAUUUUUUAUUGUUGAAGAAGUGCAAAACUUAACUGUGUUACAAAAAUGCGAUAAUGUACUGUGUAUGUUAUUGGUUCAUACCUAUUUCAUUUGUAGCCACUGUCAAAUAACAAUUGCAUUAUCCCUUUCAAUUACAAGCAGUUUUUCUUAACCUUUGGGAAUUAAGAGGGCUGUUCCAGAAGUAGUGCCUUCUAUUUCAUUAUGUUGAUGCACAAUGUCAGAGGCAGAUGUUGGUGGUUGAACCUUUCCACCAAUGUUCUGUUACCUGCUGCU